rnacentral:ncRNA from 1 species
CAAUGGGAAUGGUACAAACGGAGAAAUCUGUUGUCACAAAGCUAUAGGGGCUAAGGGGACAACCUAUGCCUGCCAGCUGCCAUU